UAGCCAAAUUUCGAUAAGCAUUGUGAAUUGCACACUCCUGCGAAUCAAUAGACCUCUGAACGUAUCAUACACACCGCCUCUGCUCGCACGCGGUACUCCCAUUUCAGUGAACUUUAAAUCCUAAAAGCAAACCACUUUGUGGUUCUGGCUUUCGUGAUUGGGUGUCUCUUGUUGAGCGCCUUAAUUUCCAAAGCGAGAUUGGUCAGCCUGUGCGACGGGGGUUACCUUGUGUAACCUUGAUCUCGGAGCUUCUUGUUGUUUAUAUAAACUUGAUGCUUCCUUGUAGGUCCUUUCUGGUAAUUUAYRUURCUAGUUGUGCGUUGGCAGCUUCUAAUUUUAGCUUUCACAUUUGCGUUGCUGUUUUUAACAGUUGCGUAUCAAUUUGCUUCCUGAAAUUGGGUGAGACCAUCCGCCGAAUUUAAGCAUAUAAUUAAGCGGAAGAAAAGAAAAUAACUAUGAUUCUCCUAGUACG
rnacentral:rRNA from 1 species